rnacentral:rRNA from 1 species
GUAGAGAUGUGGAGGAACACCGAUGGCGAAGGCAGCCCCCUGGGAUGACACUGACGCUCAUGUACGAAAGCGUGGGUAGCAAACAGGAUUAGAUACCCUGGUAGUCCACGCCCUAAACGAUGUCAACUGGUUGUUGGGGGAGUGAAAUCCCUUAGUAACGAAGCUAACGCGUGAAGUUGACCGCCUGGGGAGUACGGUCGCAAGAUUAAAACUCAAAGGAAUUGACGGGGACCCGCACAAGCGGUGGAUGAUGUGGAUUAAUUCGAUGCAACGCGAAAAACCUUACCUACCCUUGACAUGUCCGGAAUCCUGCAGAGAUGCGGGAGUGUCCGAAAGGGAAUCGGAACACAGGUGCUGCAUGGCUGUCGUCAGCUCGUGUCGUGAGAUGUUGGGUUAAGUCCCGCAACGAGCGCAACCCUUAUCAUUAGUUGCUACGCAAGGGCACUCUAAUGAGACUGCCGGUGACGAACCGGAGGAAGGUGGGGAUGACGUCAAGUCCUCAUGGCCCUUAUGGGUAGGGCUUCACACGUCAUACAAUGGUCGGUACAGAGGGUUGCCAAGCCGCGAGGUGGAGCCAAUCCCAGAAAGCCGAUCGUAGUCCGGAUUGUUCUCUGCAACUCGAGAGCAUGAAGUCGGAAUCGCUAGUAAUCGCGGAUCAGCAUGUCGCGGUGAAUACGUUCCCGGGUCUUGUACACACCGCCCGUCACACCAUGGGAGUGGAAUCUGCCAGAAGUAGGUAGCCUAACCGCAAGG